rnacentral:rRNA from 1 species
GAGACUGCCGGGGUCAACUCGGAGGAAGGUGGGGACGACGUCAAGUCAUCAUGCCCCUUAUGUCCAGGGCUUCACACAUGCUACAAUGGCCGGUACAGAGGGCUGCGAUACCGCGAGGUGGAGCGAAUCCCUUAAAGCCGGUCUCAGUUCGGAUCGGGGUCUGCAACUCGACCCCGUGAAGUUGGAGUCGCUAGUAAUCGCAGAUCAGCAACGCUGCGGUGAAUACGUUCCCGGGCCUUGUACACACCGCCCGUCACGUCAUGAAAGUCGGUAACACCCGAAGCCGGUGGCCUAACCCUCUGGGAGGGAGCCGUCGAAGGUGGGAUUGGCGAUUGGGACGAAGUCGUAACAAGGUAGCCGUACCGGAAGGUGC